rnacentral:lncRNA from 1 species
UAGAUGUUUCAGUGAAUUUACAAUGCUGAGUGCACUUGAAACCUAAAAUCAGAGAGAAUGGCACUGCUGCUCUAAUAAGACCUGGGGAAAUCAGAAACCUGGUUGUCUCCUAUGAGCACUGCUUUCCAGAAAACUCUCUCAACCAGUAGACUUCAUUCCGUUUAUGCCUAAAGAGAAAAUACGUUGAGCAAACCAAGGAAGGCUCUGGCAUAAACUAGAGCUGGUGACAUGGGACAUCAAACUAAGCUGUGAUUACUUCAUCAGAGAUUACCUUUCUAGAGGAUUCUGAAAAGGAUACUGAUGUUUAUUUUUGGAAUAGGCUUUCUUCUGAGAGAAGAGUUGCUUGAAAUCAUGCAGAUGUAUUUUAAGAAUGUACUCAAGAGAGGCACCCAAGAAGACAUUUUGUAUGGAGAUGGGCAGAAAAUGAAGUGAGACUUGAACUUGGAGAGAAAACAAUGUCCUUUUCUUUUGAAGAGGAUCAGGAAGCUGAAAGAAGGAUUCCUGACAGUCAGGCUAAGCUGGACACCUCUAUGGAAACCUGCCAGGAGCUCUUCAAGAAUAAUGAAGUAGAGCCUAGAACCAUGGACUUUAAGAAUAGAUAAUAGCAGUUAUAAACUACUUUUUCUUUCUAUUUCCAUGUUCUCUAAGUUUUCCAAAUCUUAAAUCUUAUUAGAAGGUGCAGUCCUAUCUCUUUUGUGUUAUGGAAGAUAAGAGAACAUAAUGUCUCCUUCCAUCCAUUAAAGGUCAUUGAGGAGCAUUAAGAUGAUUACUUUUGGCUCCAAAUCCCAACUUCGUGUCUAUAUCACAAAGUUUGGCAGCAUGGAAGGCAGUAUCAGAGGGGAAAAAACUUGAGUUUAAUUUUUUUUUUUUCUGGAAAAAACUGAGGCAGUUCCCAAGAAGUUAACAGAAAUAGCUGGGAAGCCAGUUUCUGAAAUUCAGGCGGCUCGGGACCUUGACAAAAUAAUUUGAUGGAAAACAGAUACACAAAGUCAUUCUAUAGACAUAGGAUAGUGAAGUUCAAGGACAAACAGCAUUAUUACACAGAAUCUAUUGUCUGAAGACAAUAGAUUUUUUUUUGGAAUUUUUUUGUAAUUCUGAAGCAUCCACUCUGUUAACUGUUCUUUUAGCUUCUUUGGCAUAGGGGAUGAACUAGAAAUCUUCCCUUGGCUUAG